GCUGCUCUUUUUCACCAACUCCUCACUCUCACCAUAUGCUCCAGCACUCUCAUCUCUCCUCUUACUCCUGGAUUCACCCGACUUCUCCUUCAACUUCUUCGUCACCUCCCCCUUAUCAUCGUCUCCGCCAUUCCACCUAUCAUUCACACCGUCCUCAGCUCUCUCUUUAAACCGCUUUGAUGACGAAUAUUCCUCUAAGUACUCCCCGUUUCCAGAGCCAAAUGAGUCUUUAUUGUCCCUGGAAUCAAGCUUUCGCUUCUCACCAGAGCCAGAGUCCUUAGAAACCCUAAAAGUACUCUCCUCUUUGCUCUUUCUGUCCUUGGAGCUUGAGUCCUUCUCAGAAUCUGAGUAAUCCCUUGCAUCUCUCGAACUAUGUUUGCUCGAUUU
rnacentral:misc_RNA from 1 species